rnacentral:rRNA from 1 species
UUGCAGGCUGCAACCCGCCUGCAUGAAGUUGGAAUUGCUAGUAAUCGCGGAUCAGCAUGCCGCGGUGAAUACGUUCCCUGGCCUUGUACACACCGCCCGUCACACCAUGGGAGCCGGUAAUACCCGAAGUCAGUAGCCUAACCGCAAGGGGGGCGCUGCCGAAGGUAGGAUUGGCGACUGGGGUGAAGUCGUAACAAGGUACC